UACGGGGGGGGCAAGCGUUGUUCGGAAUUACUGGGCGUAAAGGGCUCGUAGGCGGCCAACUAAGUCGGAUGUGAAAUCCCCAGGCUCAACCUGGGAACUGCAUCCGAUACUGGAUGGCUUGAAUUCGGGAGAGGGAUGCAGAAUUCCGAGGUGUAGCGGUGAAAUGCGUAGAUAUCUGGAGGAAUACCGGUGGCGAAGGCGGCAUCCUGGACCGACAUUGACGCUGAGGAGCGAAAGCCAGGGGAGCAAACGGG
rnacentral:rRNA from 1 species